GACAGAGGUCUCGAGCGUUAGGCGGAAUCACUGGGCUUAAAGCGUGUGUAGGCGGAUGCCUAAGUACCUUGUGAAAUCCCACGGCUCAACCGUGGAAUUGCUUUGGUAUACUGGGUGUCUUGAGCCAGCUAGGGGCAACCGGAACAAAUGGUGGAGCGGUGAAAUGCGUAGAUAUCAUUUGGAACGCCAAUGGUGAAAACAGGUUGCUGGGGCUGUGCUGACGUGAGACACGAAAGCCAGGGGAGCAAACGGG
rnacentral:rRNA from 1 species